rnacentral:rRNA from 1 species
GAUGAACGCUGGCGGCGUGCCUAAUACAUGCAAGUCGAGCGAACGGACGAGAAGCUUGCUUCUCUGAUGUUGUCGGCGGACGGGUGAGUCACACGUGGAUAACCUACCUAUAAGACUGGGAUAACUUCGGGAAACCGUAGCUAAUACCGGAUAAUAUUUUGAACCGCGAGGUUCAAAAGUGAAAGACGGUCGUGCUGUCACUUAUAGAUGAAUCCGCGCUGCAUUAGCUAGUUGGUAAAGUAACGGCUUAGCAACGCAACGAUGCAUAGACGACCUGAGAGGGUCGUCGGCCACACUGGAAGUGAGACACGUUCCAGACUCCUACAGGGGGCAGCAGUAGGGAAUCUUCCGCGAUGGGCGAGUGCGUGACGGAGCAACGCCGCGUGAGUGAUGAAGGUCUUCGGAUCGUAAAACUCUGUUAUUAGGGAAGAACAUAUGUGUAAGUACCUGUGCACAUCUUGACGGUACCUAAUCAGAAAGCCCCGGCUAACUCCGUG